UACGUAGGGUGCGAGCGUUAAUCGGAAUUACUGGGCGUAAAGCGUGCGCAGGCGGUUCGUUGUGUCGGUGGUGAAAUCCCCGGGCUUAACCUGGGAAUGGCCAUGGAAACUGGCGAACUGGAGUGCGGCAGAGGGGGGUGGAAUUCCGCGUGUAGCAGUGAAAUGCGUAGAUAUCAGGAGGAACACCGGUGGUGUAGACGGCUUUCUGGACCGUAACUGACGCUGAGACACGAAAGCGUGGGUAGCAAACAGG
rnacentral:rRNA from 1 species